AGCGAACGCUGGCGGCAGGCCUAACACAUGCAAGUCGAGCGCCCAGCAAUGGGAGCGGCAGACGGGAUAGUAACACGUGGGAACGUACCUUUCAGUUCGGAACAACCCAGGGAAACUUGGGCUAAUACCGAAUACGCCCGUAAGGGAAGAUUAUCGCUGAAAGAUCGGCCCGCCGUCUGAUUAGCUAGUUGGUGGGGUAAGUGGCCCACCAAGGCGACGAUCAGUAGCUGGUCUGAGAGGAUGAUCAGCAUCACUGGGACUGAGACACGG
rnacentral:rRNA from 1 species